GUAGAAACAUAUCAGGUGCUAUAUUGGCACCCAAGAGAUGUAAUGUUGGUGCGAAUGGAUGGCAGUGUAAGCAGCGCAUCAAGUAGGGUGUUGACAUUGACAGUGAUGUGUCAAUGUCAAAAGUAGGGUCUUUGGAAAACAUAUAAUGAAGUUCCCAAUUUUUACAUUUAAUGUGUUAUCACCCAACUGAACUGACAUUUGGAGAUCAAGUGAUGACUACUUCAUCCUGGAUUGCUCUUUUAGUUGAAAGUGGACAUCUCCUCCUGUCCCUCACAGGCUUGGUUUCAGGACUCUCAGGAGCUGUGUUAUGUGUAUGUCUUGAGAAGCAGGAUCUUGGGUCCCUUGUGUGGUUGGCAUUUUACUCCUUGCUUGCUCUUGCUCGGAGCUUGCAUGCUGCAAGGCAGGUUCAUUCUUGUCAGUGCAACAUGAAGGCUGCUAUGUCACCAAUGCCCAGUGUCGAUGGCACACUGUUGUCCCAACUAGUUACCAGCACAUCACCACCAAUGUCAACACCUCCCACACACACUGCUGUGCCUCCAUGAUUGGCACCAACACUACAUCUUUUGACGACCAGAUGGCAGCUACGAGCCAUCAACCGCUGGUAAGAAGAGAUAACUGAGAAGAUUAUAAAUUCACUCGACACCAGCACGAUCCACCAGCAGGGGAAGGAGCUGUCACUUGUUACACGUGCGUUCUGUGCUCUACUCUAUACAAGAUGCCUCCUUUCUCCCGAACCUGUCAGGACUUCCUCUUCCCAGAAGCUUCAUAGGUUGGCUUACUGAGCAUAAGGCUACUUGGCCUGGAAUGGACCAUUUCUCCAAAGAUCUCUGGUUCCUUAUUUUGGACAAUUGUAUACAGAAAACAAGAUCUAAAUACCAGAUGCCAGAAGCAUGGAAACUUGUGUCCUCCACUCUCUUGCCAAUGGGAUUCCGAUGUACAGUCUGUUCUGAGAGCUCACAUGCAAGAUUUGGAAGAAGGAAGAGAAGUAGAAGCCAUUUUCACAGCGGCAGGUGGAACCACGGAUUUAGGUCGACAUGCAAAUUCACACAGAAACACCUGGUAAAAGAUGUUGAAAAAUGAAUAGAAGAAGAACCAGCAUCAGCCAGAGAUGGAUACAGUGUCUGAUGGGACCAGAGCCUUCCCUUUUGAGCAUAAAGUGGGGCAUCAAGAUGUUCUAAUGUAGUCACUGCUACUAAGGUCAGAAGAGACAGAGUUGAGCACCCAGCCUUGGAUGGCUCCUGGCAGUCUACCUGGGAAGUCACAGUUGAGCUGAAGUCUCUGGGGACACCAGCAAGUGCCUCUUGGGUCUUCUCUGUGAGAUGUGAUUUCAAGGGGCAUCACUACUACUGUGAGACAUCAGGACUCAUAGAGGAAAAAAGAUCCAUUCCUAGGACUAUGAAGAUGAAAGCCAAGUGCCAAGCUCUACUAGCAUUUCCUUAAUGGAGGACCCAAGGGGUCCCACAUCAUUCUCCAGAGAAGGGGCAGCAUGGAACAGUUAAAUCCAGUUAAAGUUAAGUUUUGGAAUCAGACCUUGAUUUGAGACUGGACUCAAUCACUCAUAGCUGAAGUAAUGUGGAGAAAUGUUCAGAAGGAUUUAACACAGAGGUGGCACAUAAUGUGUGUUC